AACGCUGGCGGCGUGCCUAAUACAUGCAAGUCGAACGCUGAAGGAGGCGCUUGCUUCUCUGGAUGAGUUGCGAACGGGUGAGUAACGCGUAGGUAACCUGCCUGGUAGCGGGGGAUAACUAUUGGAAACGAUAGCUAAUACCGCAUAACAGUAGAUAUCGCAUGAUAUCUACUUGAAAGGUGCAAUUGCAUCACUACCAGAUGGACCUGCGUUGUAUUAGCUAGUUGGUGAGGUAACGGCUCACCAAGGCGACGAUACAUAGCCGACCUGAGAGGGUGAUCGGCCACACUGGGACUGAGACACGGCCCAGACUCCUACGGGAGGCAGCAGUAGGGAAUCUUCGGCAAUGGACGGAAGUCUGACCGAGCAACGCCGCGUGAGUGAAGAAGGGUUUCGGAUCGUAAAGCUCUGUUGUAAGAGAAGAACGAGUGUGAGAGUGGAAAGUUCACACUGUGACGGUAUCUUACCAGAAAGGGACGGCUAACUACGUG
rnacentral:rRNA from 1 species